ensembl:lncRNA
CCUCAAGCAAUGCCUGGCAUCUAAUAGGAAUCCAGGCGUUUAUUUAGUUAACUUCACAGUGACUCUGGUUCCUUCCAGGGUUCUGUUGAUGGAGCAACACUUCUCAAACUACCUCUGGUGAAGGACAAGUUUAUUUUAAAAAGUUUCUAAUAUGUGACACUUUUGUCAGGUAUUUUUACAAAAUACAAUAAAGAAGAGUUACUAGAAAUAAAAACCCAGAUGUAUAAAAUACCAAUGCCAUUUAAAAAAUAUUAGAUUUGACAGACAUAACAUUUUUAAACAGUCUUAGUUUCUCUCCUUAUGUCUUUGGAGACUGGUAACAAGCAGCAGCCUGUGGACUGGCACCAGCCUUUGGGCCAUACCCUGAAAAGCAGAAUGGCAGAAUACACACAAAAUGACUAAGAACCAAGUGAAGCCAACGAAGCAGCUCAACUCUGGGCCAGGGAAGUACCUGAUAACCUUCAGAACUCCAACACCUCAGGCCUGAAGCUGAAGGGGCACUACCCACACGCUCCUCAGGAAACUGAAGAAAACCAGGCUGUUUGUAGGAGUGACAGGACUACCCUCCUUAUCACCAGUGGAGAAGAGCCCAUCCUCGCCGGAUGCAACAAUUUACUUAGAGGCAGGAAACUAAUGCUGAAGUCAGGAGGUGGACAAGAUCUGUCAUCACAGCGGAUUACCUGCAGUCAACCAGAUGCCAUGCUGUAGUCUAGAAUAGCCCUUUACAUGCUGCUUCUGCCUUGACUUGUAUUUCUCACAUCCAUUUUGCAACUCCUUCUAGUUUCAGGACAAUCAACAACUGUCUUUCUGAAGCAUGAAGAUAAGUUAAAUGUUUCCUCCUCCAAGAUCUCAUAGUAUUUUUCCCAUCUCUCUACCAAAGCUAUAAAAUCUGUCUUUCAAAUUAGCUACCAGAUUCUAAAGGAUAGGGGCCAUGUUCCGCUAAUCUUUAAAUCCCCAGCAACUAGCUCAACUGACUAGGAAUCUAAAUGAUAUUUAUAAAUUCACAUUCAACUUAAAUGAAUAAUGAAAAGAUACAAGUAAUGAACUUCAGGAUCAUCAAGGGAAACUCUUAUUUUUACACAUGAGAAAACCAAGGAUGAUAGUGAAGUGACUUACUCAAGGUCACAAAGGUAGGGGUUAAAUUGGGACUCCUGCCUUUCAGCAGACUCAAGGAGAAUGUCUGGUAUAUAAGAGAACACUCAAUAAAUAUCGGUGGAAUGAAAUCCUUUCUUUAAAUUCAAGUUAUUAACAUAUACCAGAAUCUCAAAAUUUGACUGUAUUAGCAAUCCCCAAUGUUGUGAUAAAUAAUCUUCAUCAGGGACCAGGUAGAGGAAAAGGAAGGAAAAUACAGAGAGCACAGGGUCUUAUUCACAUUAAUUUCCCUUGAAGUCCUCAAUUCCUUUGCAAGGCACAGAGAUGGCAUUCUCAGGACCUUGAGGCAGCUUACUGCCUUCUAAGCCCAUUUUUAUAAGAGCUCAUGUUCUCUUCCUAUGUAUAUAAGAACUGUAUUUGCCAAGCAAGUUUGCUGGUAGUGGUGUUAAGAAACAAUUAUUUCUUCCUUAAAAUCCAGCCUGAUGCUUCAUUCACAUAACUUCUGGUGUAAUUGACCUGUUUAGCUCUGGAGAGGGAAUAGCAUGGAGUUGGAAGACAUGGGCUUUCCUUCUGACUCUGCUGCUCUGCAACAGAGGACACGGUGUUUGCUGUCAGCUUUCUCAGAAUUAGAGCUCUCCUUGGUAAAAUGCCAGCACCAAAGCAGAGAGAGGGCUGGCUGAUCCCUUCCAUUUCAAACAUUCUAUGAUUCUAAGUGUCAAUCUUGAGGUAACUUUCUAGGAAUGGUUUUAUAGAGACAAAUGAAUAAUCAGUUUCUUAAAAAGUGCUACUCGGUAAUUUAACAAUUCAUUGUACCAAUUAAACAUGUAGAUAUGUUGGUAAAGGGAACGAAGCAAUCAGAGCAUAAAAGAUGAAUAACCCAUCUUACCUACCUUAAUGAUCACAUCGAGUAUGUAAAGAAAUAUCUCACAUUAAAUCCAACAAAUCGUUGGAUGUACAAAGGCCAAUGGGAUUAAAAAAAAGUGAAAUUCUUUUAGUAGGUUUGGGGUUGGGGGAAGUGUCUAUGACUCUUAAUUCUUAAAAAACACCACAGAUAACUCUGAUGAAUAAUUUGGUUAAGAAGCAUUUCUGGGACUGAUUUGGUAACUACUGUGCUGGCAUUUAACAGAUUUUUUAAUGUUUAAUAAAUGGUUAUUGUUAAUAUGUAUAUUUUAUUUUUUUCAUAUAUGGAAUCUGCUCAUGAAGAAAAGCACCAUAAUUUAUAAUUGUUUGUUUUCCUGAGACCACUGAACACUGGCCAGAGCGUGUGA